rnacentral:rRNA from 1 species
UACGGAGGGUGCGAGCGUUAUCCGGAUUCACUGGGUUUAAAGGGUGCGUAGGCGGGUUGGUAAGUCCGUGGUGAAAUCCCCAAGCUUAACUUGGGAACUGCCGUGGAUACUAUCAAUCUUGAAUAUCGUGGAGGUAAGCGGAAUAUGUCAUGUAGCGGUGAAAUGCUUAGAUAUGACAUAGAACACCAAUUGCGUAGGCAGCUUACUACACGAUCAUUGACGCUGAGGCACGAAAGCGUGGGGAGCAAACAGG